rnacentral:lncRNA from 1 species
CUUUCAACUUUCCUCCCUGAGAUCUUCCUCCGUGAACCAACAACAAAAGGACCAGCCACCUCACUGGUCCUCUGUUGCCAGUAGAAAAAGCCCUACAAGGAUUAAUGCAAGAAGAAGUUCUGCUUUGGGGUUCUAUGAGGCUGAAAAUAUUGGAUCAGUAUUCCUGAGGAAUCUGCGUUUCAGAAUCCCAGGUCCGGAAGGACAAGAAGUACUUUGCAAACAAAUCAAAUGUACGUUUAGGAAGAUGAAAUCAUGCAACAGAAAGAUUUUUCAGAAUUUUUCAGCAACAGAUUUUACACACAAUUCAGAAGGAAGAAAGAACAGAUGAGUUUGGGAAUCAGGAGACCAGAUGUCAAGACUGGACUACAUCUUUAUAUUCAUUUCCAGAUUUAAAGUUCUAUGUUGUAUUUUAUUUGAUGCAAAGCAAUAAAAUAUUCCUCCCUCCU